rnacentral:rRNA from 1 species
UACAGAGGUCUCAAGCGUUGUUCGGAUUCAUUGGGCGUAAAGGGUGUGUAGGUGGCGCCGUAAGUCGGGUGUGAAAUUUCGGAGCUUAACUCCGAAACUGCAUUCGAUACUGCGGUGCUUGAGGACUGGAGAGGAGACUGGAAUUCAUGGUGUAGCAGUGAAAUGCGUAGAGAUCAUGAGGAAGACCAGUGGCGAAGGCGGGUCUCUGGGCCGAUACUGACGCUGAGGAGCGAAGGCCAGGGGAGCAAACGGG